GACCUUAAGAGCUUGACAUUUGUCCAUAUGAUCACAACGUUUCAAAGAAGCGACAUCCUCAUGCGGAGUAAUACAUCGAACAACAGCUUCUCCUCACACUCUCUUCUAUCCACCAUGGUCACACUUUCGAUGAAUUUUUCAAUGACUACAAGGUCAUCAUAGAUCAUGUAAUGCGGCAAACGAAAUCAGUGAACGUUUAGAAAAGUGACAAGACAAGCCACCCAAGUGCUACUACAAACAGUUAUUGAGCAUGUCGAAGAGUGGGAGGAAGCACAACAAGAGGAAACCGAAACAAUACAGGUAAGCAAUGAAAGUGGUCUCUUCGAUAAUGAACAGCUGUCAUACCUUCAAUGACUGUGUUGAACAAGAUGGAUUGACCAUCGAAUAUUUUUUUUCUUAGAAAUUUCCAACAAUCUCAACAACAUAGUCGAGAUCUCGAUGUUUGCCCAUAACUCCUAAUCUCUAGCAAUGACUGGUAUUCCUUACAAC